GCAAACUAUCAUAAAAUAAAAUUUAAUAUUUUUCCUACACUCUUUACAUUCUCUGGAACCCACACAAAAAUUUUCAUAAUUUUUGGAUCAGCACAAAAUUUACUACACAAUUUCAAAUAUAAAACAAAAACUGCAUAAAAGAAAAAGAAAAACAAAACAGCACUGUGUCACUGCGGCCCAGGAGCUCAGCCCACGCGUUCGGCCCAAACCAGCUCGGGAGAGCUCCCCCGCGCGGACCGCGCGCUGCCCCUCACGCAGACACUGACGGGCGGGUCCCGCCCGUCAGCUUCGCCUUCUACCUCGCGCCACCGCUCCGGCGACCUCCACCGCAACACCGGUGAGCUCCCGGCUUCCGCAGCGAGGCGCGCUAGCUUCCCCAGAUCCUUGCGCACCCGUAGACCUCCUUUACACCCGCUCUCCCCUACCCUAGCUGCCACGGCCAUGGACGUGGCGGACGGCCACCCCGGCCGAGCCAAUGCCGGCCACUACGCUUGAGUAGAGCGCGAAUUGAGCAGCGCAAGAGCAUCAGUGGCUCACCGCGAUCCCAAAGGAACAAGAAGCAGCGUCGGAGAAGCUCGGGGUGAUGCUGGCCACGUGAGGUGCUCGCGGCGGCGUUUCGGCCGGAGUUGGAGAGGAAAACGGCUCGGUGUGAAGUUGUGGAAGGGUAGAGCUUGCGCUCAGGGGCGCAAUCGAUGGCUAAGGACUUGGCGAAACUCGGGGAGUGCUCGGGUGGAUUGGGAAGGGAACGAUCGAGGCGAAUUUGGAGUUGGACGAGCCGCUGCUCGUCGGUGCUCCCGUGGCGAAAAAGAGGUCGGUGAUCGCAGGAGAGAAGGGCACGUCGCGUUCCAUUUCGCCAGCAGCUGCUCCACUUUGCCACGGACGCGGACACGCGCUAGGACGGGGUGAAACGGCGGUUCACGAGUCGGCAAACGCCGAUCGACGCUCGGCGGUACACCGCCAUGAACAGGGGCCGAGCUUAUCCCCCUUUUCCCCAAAAUACCCUUUCUGAAAACUUAAAAUUACUCUGAGAUUUUGAAUAGAAGAUGAAAAUAUGCCAAAAUAAGAGUUGUGCAAAAAUUGAUGAGCUACCAAAUAUCUUUAACGAGCAAAGACUGAUUUUAAAUGGAAAGGGAUGAAUUUGAGCCAAACAGUUGGAAAUUCAAAACUCAAAUUGGGAAAAAAAAUUCCAAUUUUGAAUUAGGGCAGAUUAGAAAUUCCAAAAUUACUUUUGAUUUUCCAAAACCACUUGAAAAACUUCCAACAUGAAAGUUGUUCAACUUUUCAAGCCCUACAACUCUCAUGUUGACCAUCUUUCAAAAUUCCAAACAGAUUUUGAAUUGGGGAUUUAAGUUUGAAAAGGGGACACUUUCCGGAAAUCUGUAUUUUUAAAAUUACUUUGGAUUUUGUACUAAAUCUUCAAAAACUCAAAACACCAAAGUUGUACAAAUUAACAAGAUCUACAACCUUUCUUUUGAACUCAACUUCAAAUUUUGCUUGGUUUUUGAAUUGCAUAAAAGGGGGUAAAUCUAGGGUUUUGAAAACUAGGGUUCCCCCCCUAAGUCUUUCGGAAAAAACUUCACCCAUGGUUUUUAAACUCCAAAACAAGCAUCCAUACAUAAAAUAAACACACGUUAAAUUCCUAAACACAUUCAACCAAAUUUAAACUUAUUUUAAGUUAAUGCAUCAGGGUUUACUUAAUAAUAAACUAUGCAAUGCUCAUGAUGACAGGUCAUGUUUUAGUUCGCUUAACACGAGAGUGUUACAGCUCUUUCCCCCUUAAAGAAAUCUCGUCCCGAGAUUUACCCUAAAGUCUAACUACUGGAAAAGGAAAUUUGUCAAGCACUUCCAUUUCCAACUUUUACAAAAACAGGGGUAGAUCAUUAUACUAUAGAUUACAAGGAUAAGACAGAAGAAAAGAACUCAGGAAAACGUUCUAAGAGAAACUCUUCGGAUUCCCACGUGGCUUCAUCUUCGGUAUGUUGAUUCCAUUGCACCUUGUAAUAUUUGAUAGUUCUUCUACGAGUGACUCGAUCUUUUUGAUCCAAAAUCUUGAUAGGAUACUCUGAAUAUGUUAGAUCAGGCUUUAACUCAAUUUCUUCAACAUGAAUGAUAUGAUUAGGCACUCGAAGACAUUUCUUUAAUUGAGAGACAUGGAACACAUUGUGUACUGAUAACAACUGUGGUGGUAAAUCUAGACGAUAUGCCACCUUUCCACAUCUUUCAAGGAUUUGAUAUGGACCUAUAUAUCGAGGUGCCAACUUUCCUUUUACUCCAAAACGAGUGACUCCUUUCAUAGGUGACACUUUGAGGUAUACAUAGUCACUAACCUCAAAGCUAAGAGAUCGGCGUCUCUUAUCAGCAUAACUCUUUUGCCUGGACUGUGCUAUCUUCAUGUUCUCUCGAAUGAGCCUGACUUUUUCUUCGGUUUCUUCGACUAAGUCAACCCCGAAGAGACUACGUUCUCCAGGUUCUGACCAAUUCAAAGGUGUCCUGCACCUUCUGCCAUACAGAGCUUCGAAUGGUGCCAUCUUAAUGCUCUCUGGAUAACUAUUAUUAUAAGAGAAUUCUGCUAAAGGCAAACAUUCAUGCCACUUCUCUGAAUAACUGAGCACACAAGAUCUUAACAUAUCUUCUAAGAUCUGAUUGACUCUUUCAGUCUGACCUCCAGUUUGUGGAUGAUAAGCUGUACUAUGUAGAAGUUUGGUACCCAAGGACUUAUGCAGAUGCUUCCAGAAAGCAUUCACAAAUUGUGUUCCUCUAUCAGAUACAAUAGUCUUUGGAACACCAUGUAGACUCACAAUUCUGUUAAAGUAUAUCUUAGCAUAGUCAGAAGCUCGAUAAUCCUUUCUUACUGGAAUGAAAUGAGCCGAUUUGGUCAGACGAUCAACAAUGACCCAUAUGGAAUCAAACCCUCUCGAGGUCCUGGGUAAACCCACUAUGAAGUCCAUACUAAUGUCAUCCCAUUUCCAAGAUGGAAUUGGCAAUGGUUGCAGUUCUCCAGCAGACCUAAGAUGAACUGCUUUCACUUUUUGACAAAUAUCGCAUCUAGCCACAUAACUAGCAAUUUCAAGCUUCAUCUUAGUCCACCAGAAUCUUUGUUUUAGAUCAUGAUACAUCUUAUUACUACCUGGAUGGAUCGAAAGUCUUGUUGCAUGAGCUUCAUCAAGAAUUUGUUUUCUGAGUUCAGGGACCUUUGGAACUACUAAACGAUCUUUGAACCAAAUCACUCCAGCUUCAUCUAUUCUGAACUUAGAAUUUGGUUCAGACUGAACCUUUCUUUUCAAAAAGAUUAUACCCUUAUUUUCUUGUUGGGCUGUAAUAAUCUGAUCUUUGAUGGAUGACUGAACUGUCAUAUUUGUCAAACUCCCUUGUGGAAUCAUCUCAAGACCUAACUUUUCAAAUUCAUAACAUAAGGUAAGGUUUAUAGGCUUGACUUCCAGACAAUUGCAAUGACUCUUUCGACUGAGUGCAUCUGCCACCACAUUGGCUUUGCCUGGGUGAUAAUGUACCUCAAUAUCAUAAUCUUUUAUCAGUUCUAACCAUCUUCUCUGGCGCAUAUUCAACUCUGACUGAGUAAAGAUGUAUUUCAAACUCUUAUGAUCAGUAUAUAUGUGACAAGUAUUGCCCAAUAGAUAAUGUCGCCAGAUCUUCAGAGCAUGGACUACCGCUGCCAACUCUAGAUCAUGGGUUGGAUAAUGCUCUUCAUGACACUUAAGUUGUCGUGAAGCAUAUGCAAUGACUCUGCCUUCUUGCAUUAGUACACACCCAAUGCCUUUGCCUGAAGCAUCACAAUACACAUCAAAAGAUUUUUCAAUAUCAGGUUGAGCUAGCACUGGUGCAGUGGUCAACAACUUUUUUAAGGUCCGAAAAGCUUCUUCACACUCGGAUGACCACACAAACUUGGUAUCAUUCUUCAGCAGUGUUGUCAUUGGUUUAGAGAUCUUGGAGAAGUCAGGGAUAAACCUGCGAUAAUACCCCGCUAAUCCUAAGAAACUCCGAACUUGAUGUACUGAAGUUGGUGACUUCCAGUCAAGAACUUCUUGAACUUUGCUUGGGUCUACUGCAACACCUUCAGCUGACAGGACAUGACCCAAAAAUUGAACUUCAUCUAUCCAGAAUUCACACUUGCUAAACUUAGCAUAUAAUUGAUGUUCUCUCAGGCGAGUCAACACUAUCCUGAGAUGCUCUUCAUGUUCUUCUUUAGUUUUGGAGUAGAUGAGAAUGUCAUCAAUGAAUACCACCACGAACUUAUCUAACUCUGGCAUGAACACUGAAUUCAUCAAAUACAUAAAAUGUGCUGGGGCAUUUGUCAGACCAAAAGACAUGACCAGAUAUUCAUACAGACCAUAUCGGGUAGUGAAUGCUGUUUUCGGAACAUCUUUUGGCUUGAUCUUAAUUUGAUGAUACCCAGAUCUCAAGUCUAUCUUUGAAAAUACCUUAGCACCAGUUAGUUGAUCAAAGAGAAGAUCAAUACGGGGCAAAGGAUACUUAUUCUUGAUUGUUACUUCAUUCAAAGGACGAUAGUCCACACAUAGCCUCAAGGUAUUAUCCUUUUUCUUCACAAAGAUUGCCGGACAACCCCAUGGUGAGGAACUAGGUCGAAUGAAACCUUUAUCCAUCAAUUCUUGCAACUGAGUUUUCAAUUCUGCUAAUUCUUUUGGUGGCAUUCUAUAAGCUCUUCUAGAUAUUGGUGCUGUCCCUGGCUUGAGUUCUAUCUCAAACUCCACAUCACGAUCAGGUGGCAGACCAGGUAAAUCCUCUGGAAACACAUCAGGAAACUCACAGACCACUGGAAUAUCCUUGAUUUCCUUAACAGAGAUAGCACACACUUGCUCAACUGCUCUCUUAAGGGUAGGAAGAUGGAUAAGAAGUUGAGACUUGCUAUUAGGUAAGUUGACCUUGAUGGUUCUAUUUAAGGUGUCUAUAACUGCACCUCUCUGACUCAUCCAGUUCAUACCCAAGAUCACAUCUAUACUCGGAUCUUUUAACACUAUCAUGGAUGUUGGAAAUAUAUAUCCACCCAAGUCUAUUGGUACCUGAUGUACCAUUUCCUUAGUGCAAAGUCGACCCCCAGGUGACUGUAUAAAGAACUCAUCUUUGGUUGCACCAAUAGGUAUAUUAUACUUUUCCGCAAAUGCUCUAUUCAUGAAAGUAUGUGAUGCACCAGAAUCAAAAAGUGUAAGUGCUGGGUGUUGGGCAACAGGGAACAUACCAAGCAUCACUGGCUCUCCCUCAGGUAUAGCUUCAACUUGAGUAUGGAAAACCCUUCCUGUUUUCUGAGUACCCUUACCCUUCUGCUGAUUCUGGGCAUUACCUUUGUUUUGAUUUGCUUGCUGAUUUCCAACUGGUUUUGGUGCAUUGACAUUUGGAACAUUUUGCCUUGGAUAUGGACAUUCACGAGAAAAAUGUCCACUCUUCCCACAAUUGUAACAAGGGUUGUUUGCAGCUUGUGGCACUGGCGGACGGAUGGCAGGAGCAUUUGGCUGGCGUUGAACAUUGAAUGGCAUUGUCGGCCUUGCAAAAUUCCUCUGCAUAUUCUGCUGCUGAGGCGGCUGAUAAGAAGGACGAUAAGAUGGGCGGAACUGCUGAGCUGGGUGAUAUAUGAGCCUCUGGCGCUUCUUGUUGCCGCCAGAUGAUCCAGACCCUGAGACAAACCCCUUCUUCUUCUUAGCCUCCUUAUGUUUGCGGUUCUUUUCUUCACUGGAGAUAGCAAUGUUCACUGCCCCAUGAUAAGAUAUAUUGCCACAUGAUGCCAUCAUCAGUUGAAGCUUUGUAUUCAAGCCUCUCAUGAAACAAUCCUUCUUCUUUUCAUCAGUGUUGACUUGCUCAAUUGCAUAUUGGGACAGAUGAUUAAACUUUCCAAUAUACUGUAUAACUGAGUCAUCCCCCUGACGGAGAGCUAAGAACUCUUCGAGCUUCAUUUUCAUAACUCCCUUGGGAAUGUAAUGAGCCCUGAAGGCUUCCUUGAAUUCUCCCCAAGUGAUUCGGUGGCGGGCUGGUUGAACAGCCAGUAAGUUUUCCCACCAAACUCCUGCUGCUCCUCUCAGCUGCUGAGCGGCGAAAGCUGGCUUCUGGGUUUCAGUACAGUUGAUGAGACUGAACUUUUGCUCCAUAGUGCGGAGCCAAUCCUCAGCUUCAAGAGGUUCAUUAGCUUUUGUGAAAACUGGGGGACGAGUAUCUGUGAAGUCAACAUAUGUGGUUUCUUCUCGGUUAUUGCGACCACGGCCACGCUAACCAACAUUCUGGUUUUGUGCUAACAGAGUUGUUGCAUUGACCAAUGCUGCAAUUGCAUCAGCCAAAGAGGGUGGAACUGGUGGUGCAUUGGGAAAAUCAUCCCCACCCUGGGAAGAACUAGCUCCAUGGUUGUUAGCAGACAUCUGUUUAAAAACACAUCACACUUCGAUUAACAUACUUACUUAAACAUCAUACAUCAUGGCUUACAUAGCACAAACAGUUCAUCUUAUUUAUCAUACAAGUCCGCUCCUAGGCAGGACUUCCGAAACUAGAUAACAGUAACAUAAUAUCACAUAUUAAAUUUCAUGAUUUUUGGAUAUACCCAUAAUUUACUAAAAAUCAUGGAAGGUUUAUUCAUUAAUAAACAGAGGCAAUUUAUAGAUACAUGCAAACUAUCAUAAAAUAAAAUUUAAUAUUUUUCCUACACUCUUUACAUUCUCUGGAACCCACACAAAAAUUUUCAUAAUUUUUGGAUCAGCACAAAAUUUACUACACAAUUUCAAAUAUAAAACAAAAACUGCAUAAAAGAAAAAGAAAAACAAAACAGCACUGUGUCACUGCGGCCCAGGAGCUCAGCCCACGCGUUCGGCCCAAACCAGCUCGGGAGAGCUCCCCCGCGCGGACCGCGCGCUGCCCCUCCCCUCACGCAGACACUGACGGGCGGGUCCCGCCCGUCAGCUUCGCCUUCUACCUCGCGCCACCGCUCCGGCGACCUCCACCGCAACACCGGUGAGCUCCCGGCUUCCGCAGCGAGGCGCGCUAGCUUCCCCAGAUCCUUGCGCACCCGUAGACCUCCUUUACACCCGCUCUCCCCUACCC
rnacentral:lncRNA from 1 species